rnacentral:rRNA from 1 species
UACGUAGGGUGCGAGCGUUAAUCGGAAUUACUGGGCGUAAAGGGUGCGUAGGCGGGUCUUUAAGUCAGGGGUGAAAUCCUGGAGCUCAACUCCAGAACUGCCUUUGAUACUGAAGAUCUUGAGUUCGGGAGAGGUGAGUGGAACUGCGAGUGUAGAGGUGAAAUUCGUAGAUAUUCGCAAGAACACCAGUGGCGAAGGCGGCUCACUGGCCCGAUACUGACGCUGAGGCACGAAAGCGUGGGGAGCAAACAGGG